rnacentral:tRNA from 1 species
AGAGCGUUGGGUGAGUCUGGCUUAUACCACCUCCCUGCUACGGAGGCAACCUCUUCGGAGGUUCGUGGGUUCGAAUCCCACACGCUCUGCCA